rnacentral:ncRNA from 1 species
UGAUAGCGAUGAAAUGUGAGGUUGCUACCUAUGUGGUAGGUUUUCCAUGGAGCGAAUGUCAAGUUAGGAAACUGACGACAA